rnacentral:rRNA from 1 species
CAAGUCGAGCGAACAGACGAGGAGCUUGCUCCUCUGACGUUAGCGGCGGACGGGUGAGUAACACGUGGAUAACCUACCUAUAAGACUGGGAUAACUUCGGGAAACCGGAGCUAAUACCGGAUAAUAUAUUGAACCGCAUGGUUCAAUAGUGAAAGACGGUUUUGCUGUCACUUAUAGAUGGAUCCGCGCCGCAUUAGCUAGUUGGUAAGGUAACGGCUUACCAAGGCGACGAUGCGUAGCCGACCUGAGAGGGUGAUCGGCCACACUGGAACUGAGACACGGUCCAGACUCCUACGGGAGGCAGCAGUAGGGAAUCUUCCGCAAUGGGCGAAAGCCUGACGGAGCAACGCCGCGUGAGUGAUGAAGGUCUUCGGAUCGUAAAACUCUGUUAUUAGGGAAGAACAAAUGUGUAAGUAACUAUGCACGUCUUGACGGUACCUAAUCAGAAAGCCACGGCUAACUACGUGCCAGCAGCCGCGGUAAUACGUAGGUGGCAAGCGUUAUCCGGAAUUAUUGGGCGUAAAGCGCGCGUAGGCGGUUUUUUAAGUCUGAUGUGAAAGCCCACGGCUCAACCGUGGAGGGUCAUUGGAAACUGGAAAACUUGAGUGCAGAAGAGGAAAGUGGAAUUCCAUGUGUAGCGGUGAAAUGCGCAGAGAUAUGGAGGAACACCAGUGGCGAAGGCGACUUUCUG